rnacentral:lncRNA from 1 species
GGUUCUUCCGCAACAAAAUCCGGCGACUCCGGUCGCCGGCGAGCAUGCACACUGGCAUGGAAAGGAAGGGGGAGAAGAGAGGAAGGGGAGGAGGCUUACCUCUGAUACCGGUGAGGCUUUUCCGGCGAGCAAUUGGACGGCACAGGGACGGAUCUUCCACGAGAAUUUUCCGGCGAUUGCCGCCGACUGAGCUUGUGAUCUUUGGUGGAAGGGAGAGAGGAGGGAUCUCCUCCUUAAAUAGAACCGGAGGGAGCU